CCAUUUGACACACGCAUGCGCAUUUCAAGUGUGGACGCUAUAUUCAAAUAUGUUGUUUUUACCAUCGACUAACAUACGGCGCAUGACGUCACUACGAAUUUCUUUCUAGCAAAGUGGUACACUCGAGCCAAAGGUGAAACGAGAGAUAGGUCUUGUCGACUCUUAAUUAAUCAAGUACCCGUAUACGUCAGACAGGCUACUGGUUUUCUUGUAUUAAAGCCGCCAGAUUGACGAGAUCAGCUGCAUGAACGUGUCAAGCAAUGGACGGUGAUGUGAUCAAUGCUGAAGGUCAACGUCAUCCAGAAGAAACUAAUGUUGAUGAGCAUGGUUUUCUGUCGCGAGACCAGCUAGAUGAUUUGCGAAAAGAUGCUCAAGACUAUGUAAGAGAGACUGCUCGCUUUCUAGUACAGCGGUCUUUGCAAGAACUCAAGAAACACAUGAUAAGAAGUACAAACGCUAUUAGAAAGCUGUGCUACACAGCUAAUGAAAAGGCAACGUCAGAAGAUGCCAA